CCUCUGUAUUCCAUUGCGUCAUCUCUGUUCUUCUGCUUUUCUUCAUUUUUCAUAGAACUCUUUCACUUUUGCAGACCCAAAAAUUAGAAUCAGAAAGCAUUGAUAGCCUCCCCUCACACUACUGGCAUUGAAUUAGAUAUUCUUUCGUUUGUUUAUAAAUUAGACAUGCUUUAGAUAUGAGGAACAUGUGAUACUAGAUUUUCCUUUGGAUGGUUUAAAUUUUUUUUUUUUUUUUUUUUUUUUUUGGGUCAAAUUUGCAUGGUGUUAGUCAGGAAUUCGCUUUUGGUGAUACUAACAUGAUGCUCCUCUUAAGGUCCGACCCUCCAAGAUUUAACUUUAAAGCAUAUAAAUCUUUAGAAUCAGAAUUAUGAAACUCAUUUUAUUUUGGAUAGAGGAUCGGCGGUCUGAAUAUGCAGAGUUUCUAUAUUGUCUUUGUACCAUUUCCUAAAUCGCCUUGGUUUUUGUGUGCUGCAUUAUUUUAAAUCUCAAUUUAUCUAUCUGUGAACUGUUGAACAAUUGUUGCUGCUGCUUGCAGUUUGUUCCUCUUGGAUUUGUUUUACUGGACAUAAGCAUGUUGCCAAUGUGGCAUUAUAAAAUAAAUACUCCAUAAUUCGGGUAUGAAGUGGUGUAAAUUUUUUUCGAAAUGUAAAGUUUAUAGUUUGCUCAGUGGUUUACUAGAUUUCAGGAUUCUGUAGUUCAUAUUGAUUUACUUCAACAAUUGUGAUUUGUGAUGAGAAUCAGUUAUCUUAAAAAUUGACGUGAUCGGUGUCACCAAUCAGUGCCAUAUUCUUUCUACAACACAACAUAGAGUUUGGUAAUGUUUCAAGUUGGUGGCAUUAGUUAAUAUACAAUGCAUUGCGGUUCCAGUUUGCCCAUAUAUCUAGAGGAAUGAGGCUUUGAAGAUCAAAUAGUUGAAAAGUUUAUCCUUUCAAUUUUGAGUUGCAUCAAUAUGAGUAUCUUAAUCAUAAUCUAUUACCAGAACAGUCAAUUGUCUAAUUUCCUUAAAUUAGGAAUUCCAUUAGAGAUUUAAUCUUUGGCAGUCACAGUUUUAUUUUAUAAUAUAACAAACUUUUCCUUCUGUUAAUAAAUUAAUGUUCCUGCAAAAGCCACUACUUGUCUGGAUUGAACUGCUGUUUGAUGAUAGACUGGCUGGUCAGAAAAACCAUUAAACUGACCAACAUUUGCAGCAUAGGCAGUAUUGAGGUCAUCAUUGACAUACCAGGUGCAGGAAUACAACUUGAGCUUGUAGGCAUGUAAUUCGAUGAUGGCAAACACUUCAUUUGUGCAACAGAACCAAGAUGAGAUGAACUUGAGUGAAAAGAUGAAGCCUCAACGUCAUUAUUGAAGCUAUUAUGAGAAACCAUAGUUUUUGGAUCAUUCUGAGAUUUGUUGUUAAUUUGACACUCAAACAUAGAGGUGGAAGCCACAAUACCAUUCCUGUAAUAGCAUUUGGAAGCACUAUGCCCUGGUUUUUCAAAAAUUUGGCAGAUGAUAGGACCCUGAUUUGUAUUGGUAAAUUUUGGCCUGGUAUUGUUGUUCAUGUAAGUGUUGUUGGAGUUUCUGUUGUUGUGAAACUGAGGAUAGCUGCCUUGUCUGUAAUUCGCUGAGUAAGUCCUAUACUUUCCUUUAUUUGGACUGGAAAGUCUAGUCAAGCCUCCAAAUUUUGGGUCUGCAUAUUGCUGUUUUGAGAAAAACUUCCAACUUGUUGUGCUGCAUAACCAUCAUAGUAAUUAUGAGAGUUGUUCUGCAUUUGCUUUGAACCAUUAUAUACUAUUUGUAUCCCAUUUGUAUUGCCACCAUUUAAUGCAACAAACCGGAUGGUGACUGAAUAAUCCCAAUAUAUGGAGAUGAAAAAUAACCCUUAGAUGAUGUAAUGUUAGCUACUGAGUUGGCAUUUCCCAUCAUGAAGGUUGGCUUCCAUUUGUGGUCAUCAUAGAAGGCACGUAUCCAACUUAGCUAAUGAUACUAACUGAUAUUUGAUUCAUUCCAGAGAAUGAUAUGUGCAUGAAACCAUUUUGUGGAGUAAAGACCCCUGUGGUGCUUGAGCAUUACUUAUCAUACAUGCAAACUGAGGUAUACCGAGACUUGGAUUUGCAGCACCAUUGAGCACAGUAAGGUUACUAUGGAGGAGAUGGUGACACAUUGCCAGAACAAUUGUAUAAUGUAGAAGCAGUAAUAUGAUUAUUCCAUUGUAUUCCCUGAGAUGGGUUCCCAAUGUUCAAGCCAUUUUGUGCUAACAAAGCAGUGAGUUGUGUCAGUGGUGAAACAUUGCCUUGUGGGAAACAGUUAGAUGAAAGAUUUCCAAUAUCACAGUGAGCAAUCAUAGCAGUUGACUGAGACAAUGGAGAAGUUUUAUGUUCAAGUUCUAUUUCACACUGCAGAUAAUAGCAAGGAUCUAACUGUUCCUAAAUCAACAUUUUUUUUUUGCCUCUUAUAAUCUGCCUUGUAUUACCAUACUGAGUAGGGAGUCCAGCAAGAAUUGAAGCCUUCAUCUUGAUCAGAUAUUUGUACACCAAGCACAGUUAAUUGAUCCCUAACAGUUAGUUGACAUUUUUUUUUUCUCUUUUCUGUUUAUACUGCUGUAGACUUGGUGUAGUUAGUUCAUCCUUGGUUGAGAUAUAUUGACAUACUUGGAUUAAUCUUGCUUGUGUUGCUGCUGCCGUAUUGCGGAUGCCUUUUUAAAUGGCCCCUGGUUCUCAAUCCUCAUAUUUUCUAGUCUUUGUUGGUCUCUAUUAGCAACUAUCUUCCGAUUGUAUUUGACAUCAUUGAGUUGCUGACUGAAAUUUUUUCUUCUUUGCAGUUGCCAGACUUAUGAAGUUGGUAUAUCUGGGGAACCUGGUUCUGAAGCUCAUGGUGGGUAUGUUUCAGACUUAUAUCUAUUUAAAGACUAUAUAUGUCGAUUUGCAUGAAUGUUCUCUUUGCCUUUGUCUGAUAAUGUUGAGGAGUUAGGUGACUUCAGUCUUCCAUUCACUCACAUGUCAAACUGUUCUUCUGCCUUUUGUCACGUCCUUGGCAAAUUACUUAAGAAAAUUCUAUAUGUGAGGUGACAAAUUUACUAAGGUUAAUUAUCUUAGUGAACUUUUAGAGAAAUGUAUUUUGCUUCCUACCCCGAUCCGCUCACCCGUCAAGAUGAAUGUGUCAUGUGUACCUGUUCUGGAUUCUUUAGCAAAGCAUUUACAUAGAAAUCUGACAGUAUUUUCAUCAGGUACACCUUUUGUGGGCUGGCAACACUGAUUCUGAUCAAUGAGGUCAAUCGUUUGGACUUGCCUAGACUAUUGUAAAAAAAAAUUUAUUCUUUGUGUGAUUCAGAUUGGAUGAUAAUUCAUUAUAUAAUUACAUAUAAAUAUAAUUGUCUGUUCAAGCAAUUUCUUUAUUUGCUUUUACUCUACUGUGUAUAAUAUUCACUGUAGCAUUCCUCUUGUAGUGGUUUCUAUGAAUAUGCUCUGUAAUCUUAAAUUAAGUUUUUCUUGUAUUAAGAUUGGUUGGUCUUUCGACAGGGUGAUUCUCUUUAUUAUUUUUUCUUUUCUCUUUUUAAUUCUUGAUCCUAGGGAUUUUCUGCAUCAUAGUUGAAUUAACUAAGAUAAAUGACCAGGGAGGUGUUUUUGCAUGUAUUAUGUGUAAUACCUUCAGUUAGUGAGGAGCAAAUUGUGCUCCCGGAUAUGGGACUCUGCACUUUGGAUCCCUUACGCAUUUCUACAACAUCUCAUAUAUCUGAAGUGGGCAAAAAUUUUGAAGGUACUUUAUCUCAGGUUGAUGACACUGGGCCUUUUUGGCAGGAAGGGUUAAAUGUGUCCCCUUUCUAGUGAAUUGCAAUUGGAUAUGAAUUUUAUCAACAGAAGAGUAGAAAUGAAGCCACUUUUCCAUGCCAUUGCAUUGAAGCGGUUUUAUGCACAUAGGCGGAGAAUAAUGGUGGACUGAUAGACAAACCUGGCAAAUCUAGAGAUUUUUAUCACACAUGUUUUGGGUCAAAAUAUGUGGUCGGACGCUGACUCACCAGUUUUGCCUAGAGCUGUUUUGGGUCCCUAUUCCAAUGUGUUCGUCGUCGUCUUUGAUCAGUAUCAUGAAGCGCGAGCAUUCUUUACAACACACCGCGCGGGCACUAUGUACAACUUUGAGAUUCUCCAUUAACUUGAAAAUGCAUGUUGAGUGCAAUGUAACAGUUAAUAAUUCCAGGCCUUUGAUACAUGGAAUUUGAUCGAUUAUAGGUGUUCCAUAGUGUACCUAUAAUAUAUAUUUAGUGUCAAAUCUGUACCGGGAAAUAUGUAGUA